rnacentral:lncRNA from 1 species
GAUUAGGAUUGGGAUCGUGGAUUGGGAUUGAGGUGAGGAUUUGGGAUUGCUAUUAGGAUUGGGAUUGGGGUUAGGGUCAGGAUUGGGAUUGGGAUGGGGAUUAGGAUUGGGGUCCUGAAUUGGGAUUAGGAUUGGGAUUGGGAUUGGGAUUAGGAUUAGGAUUGGGAUUAGGAUUGGGAUUAGGAUUGGGAUUGGGAUUAGGAUUGGGAUUGGGAUUGGGAUGGGAUUGGGAUUGGGAUUGGGAUUGGGCAUUUCCCCUAAUUAACCCCCCCCUAAUUAAGCCCCUAUAACCCCCCAACCCCAUUAAACCCCCCCCCCACAUUUAGGGUGGGUUUAUGGGGUUUGGAUGGGGGGGUUUGGGGUGGGGGGGGUCCUUUUAGGGGGCACUUUUGGGGUCCCCAUUGAGACCCCCCCCCCCAAAUAAGCUCAAUAAAGGAUUAAUGGGACACGGCAGCAUCAGCUCUUAUAUGGGGUUAUGGGGUUUCUAUGGGGUUCUUAUGGGGUUAUAGGGUUCUUAUGGGGUUUUAGGGUUCUUAUGGGGUUAUAGGGUUAUUAUGGGGUGUGGGGGGGGAAAUGGGGUUGUGAGGACCCCCCCCAUGUCCUUCAAUGGGGUGUUAUGGGGUGGGGGGGGGAUAUGGGGUUGUGGGGACUCCCCCCAUGUCCUUCAAUGGGAUUCUAUGGGGGGGGAUUUGGGGUCCCCCAUAUCCUUCAAUGGGGGUUUAUGGGGUGGGGAUGGGGUUAUGGGGUUUCUAUGGGGUUCUUAUGGGGUUUCUAUGGGGUUCUUAUGGGGUUUUAGGGUUCUUAUGGGAUCAGUGGGGGAUAUGGGGUUGUGGGGACCCCCCCCAUGUCCUUCAAUGGGAUUCUAUGGGGUGUGAGGGGGAUUUGGGGUCCCCCAAUCCCCCCCAUUAUAUCCCCCCCAUUGGGUUUAAUUAGUCGCUGUCCAUGGUGCUGAAGAUCCAAUUGCUGUCCAUGGUGCUGAAGAUCCAAUUAACAUUAAUUCCUCCCCCUCUUAUUGGCGUUAAUUACUUAAUUAGUUGCUGUUCAUGGUGCUGAUGAUCCAAUUAACUUUAAUUACCCCCUUCCCAUCGGCGUUAAUUACUUAAUUAGUUGCUGUUCAUGGUACUGAUGACCCAAUUAACCUUAAUUUCCAUCCCCCCAUUGGGUUUAAUUAGUCGCUGUCCAUGGUGCUGAAUAUCCAAUUAACGUCAUUAAUUCCCCCCCUUCCCAUCGUCGUUAAUUACUUAAUUAGUUGCUGUCCAUGGUGCUGAAGAUCCUAUUAACUUUACUAAUUCCUCUCCUCCCAUUGGCGUUAAUUAGUCGCUGUCCAUGGUGCUGAAUAUCCAAUUGCUGUCCAUGGUGCUGAAUAUCCAAUUGCUGUCCAUGGUGCUGAAGAUCCAAUUAACGUCAUUAAUUUUAAUUCCCUCAAAUCGUCGUUAAUUAAUUAAUUAGUUGCUGUCCAUGGUGCUGAUGAUCCAAUUAACUUUAAUUACCCCCUUCCCAUCGGCGUUAAUUACUUAAUUAGUU